rnacentral:rRNA from 1 species
UACGUAGGGUGCAAGCGUUAAUCGGAAUUACUGGGCGUAAAGCGUGCGCAGGCGGUUUUGUAAGUUUGUCGUGAAAGCCCCGGGCUCAACCUGGGAAUGGCGAUGAAGACUGCAAGGCUAGAGUGUGUCAGAGGGGGGGUAGAAUUCCACGUGUAGCAGUGAAAUGCGUAGAUAUGUGGAGGAACGACCGAUGGCGCAAGGGCAGCCCCCCUGGGAUAACACUGACGCUCAUGCA